GAUGAACGCUGGCGGCGUGCCUAAUACAUGCAAGUCGAGCGAACAGACGCGGUGCUUGCUCUUCUGACGUUAGCGGCGGACGGGUGAGUAACACGUGGAUAACCUACCUAUCAGACUGGGAUAACUUCGGGAAACCGGAGCUAAUACCGGAUAAUAUUUCGAACCGCAUGGUUCAAUAGUGAAAGACGGCUUUGCCUUCUCUUAUAGAUGGAUCCGCGCCGCAUUAGCUAGUUGGUAAGGUAACGGCUUACCAAGGCAACGAUGCGUAGCCGACCUGAGAGGGUGAUCGGCCACACUGGAACUGAGACACGGUCCAGACUCCUACGGGAGGCAGCAGUAGGGAAUCUUCCGCAAUGGGCGAAAGCCUGACGGAGCAACGCCGCGUGAGUGAUGAAGGUCUUCGGAUCGUAAAACUCUGUUAUUAGGGAAGAACAAAUGUGUAAGUAACUAUGCACGUCUUGACGGUACCUAAUCAGAAAGCCACGGCUAACUACGUG
rnacentral:rRNA from 1 species